GAUGAACGCUGGCGGCGUGCCUAAUACAUGCAAGUCGAGCGAACAGACGAGGAGCUUGCUCCUCUGACGUUAGCGGCGGACGGGUGAGUAACACGUGGAUAACCUACCUAUAAGACUGGGAUAACUUCGGGAAACCGGAGCUAGUACCGGAUAAUAUAUUGAACCGCAUGAUUCAAUAGUGAAAGACGGUUUUGCUGUCACUUAUAGAUGGAUCCGCGCCGCAUUAGCUAGUUGGUAAGGUAACGGCUUACCAAGGCAACGAUGCGUAGCCGACCUGAGAGGGUGAUCGGCCACACUGGAACUGAGACACGGUCCAGACUCCUACGGGAGGCAGCAGUAGGGAAUCUUCCGCAAUGGGCGAAAGCCUGACGGAGCAACGCCGCGUGAGUGAUGAAGGUCUUCGGAUCGUAAAACUCUGUUAUUAGGGAAGAACAAAUGUGUAAGUAACUAUGCACGUCUUGACGGUACCUAAUCAGAAAGCCACGGCUAACUACGUG
rnacentral:rRNA from 1 species